rnacentral:rRNA from 1 species
UACGUAGGUGGCGAGCGUUAUCCGGAAUGAUUGGGCGUAAAGGGUGCGUAGGCGGCCUGCUAAGUCUGGAGUGAAAGGUACCGGCUCAACCGGUGCAGGCUCUGGAAACUGGCGGGCUAGAGAGCAGGAGAGGGCGGUGGAACUCCAUGUGUAGCGGUAAAAUGCGUAGAUAUAUGGAAGAACACCAGUGGCGAAGGCGGCCGCCUGGUCUGUAACUGACGCUGAGGUUCGAAAGCGUGGGUAGCAAACAGG